UGGGUUUGACAUGUAGAGAAAAGCUAUAGAGAUAUGGUGUCCUUUUGGGCUCUACAC
rnacentral:rRNA from 1 species